rnacentral:rRNA from 1 species
UACGGGGGGGCAAGCGUUGUUCGGAAUUACUGGGCGUAAAGGGCUCGUAGGCGGCCAACUAAGUCAGACGUGAAAUCCCUCGGCUUAACCGGGGAACUGCGUCUGAUACUGGUUGGCUUGAAUCGGGAGAGGGAUGUGGAAUUCCAGGUGUAGGCGGUGAAAUGCGUAGAUAUCUGGAGGAACACCGGUGGCCGAAGGCGGCUCACUGGCCCGGUACUGACGCUGAGGCACGAAAGCGUGGGG